UCUCCGUAGGUGAACCUGCGGAGGGAUCAUUACAAGUGACCCCGGUCUUACCACCGGGAUGUUCAUAACCCUUUGUUGUCCGACUCUGUUGCCUCCGGGGCGGCCCUGCCUUCGGGCGGGGGCUCCGGGUGGACACUUCAAACUCUUGCGUAACUUUGCAGUCUGAGUAAACUUAAUUAAUAAAUUAAAACUUUUAACAACGGAUCUCUUGGUUCUG
rnacentral:misc_RNA from 1 species